GAUGAACGCUGGCGGCGUGCCUAAUACAUGCAAGUCGAGCGAACAGAUAAGGAGCUUGCUCCUUUGACGUUAGCGGCGGACGGGUGAGUAACACGUGGGUAACCUACCUAUAAGACUGGGAUAACUUCGGGAAACCGGAGCUAAUACCGGAUAACAUUUGGAACCGCAUGGUUCUAAAGUGAAAGAUGGUUUUGCUAUCACUUAUAGAUGGACCCGCGCCGUAUUAGCUAGUUGGUAAGGUAACGGCUUACCAAGGCGACGAUACGUAGCCGACCUGAGAGGGUGAUCGGCCACACUGGAACUGAGACACGGUCCAGACUCCUACGGGAGGCAGCAGUAGGGAAUCUUCCGCAAUGGGCGAAAGCCUGACGGAGCAACGCCGCGUGAGUGAUGAAGGGUUUCGGAUCGUAAAACUCUGUUAUUAGGGAAGAACAAAUGUGUAAGUAACUGUGCACGUCUUGACGGUACCUAAUCAGAAAGCCACGGCUAACUACGUG
rnacentral:rRNA from 1 species